rnacentral:rRNA from 1 species
AACGGCCGCGGUAUACUGACCGUGUGAAGGUAGCAUAAUAAUUAGUCUUUUAAUAGAGGGCUGGUAUGAAAGGUUUGACGAGGAAUUGACUGUCUCAUUUUAUUUGUUUUAAAAUUUAAUUUUUUAGUUAAAAAGCUAAAAUUUUAUUGGAAGACGAGAAGACCCUAUAGAUCUUUAUAUUUAUUUAAUUAAUUUAAUUAUAUAAUAUUUUUAAUUAUUAUAAAUAUUUUGUUGGGGUGACAAAAAUAUAAAAUUAACUUUUUUAUUAUUCUUACAUUAAUAUAUGAUAAUUAGAUCCAGUAUUAUUGAUUUUUAGAUUAAGUUACCUUAGGGAUAACAGCGUAAUCCUCCUCCAGAGUUCAUAUUUACAGGAUGGGCUUGCGACCUCGAUGUUGGAUUAAGAUAAUAAUUAGAUGUAGCUGUUUAAUAUAUAGGUCUGUUCGAC